CGUUCCUUCCAACGUUAAGUUAGGUCGGACGGGGUCGGAGGUAACAACGUGUAGCAACCUAGCCUACUGAGAGAGGGAGUAGCUUCUUGGAAACGGGAAGUGGUAAGUACCUACCAUAACAAUAGUUGAAAUACGCAUGAUUUUGUUUAUUCAAGAAAAUUACGCUCAGAGAUGGGCUCGCGUCUGAUUAGAUAGUUGGUGAGGUAACGGCUCACCAAGUCGAUGAUCAGUAGCCGGACUGAGACCGGUUGAACGGCCACAUUGGGACUGAGACACGGCCCAGACUCCUACGGGAGGCAGCAGUGGGGAAUAUUGCACAAUGGGGGAAACCCUGAUGCAGCGAUGCCGCGUGGAGGAAGAAGGUUUUCGGAUUGUAAACUCCUUUUAUCAGGGACGAUAAUGACGGUACCUGAAGAAAAAGCUCCGGCUAACUACGUG
rnacentral:rRNA from 1 species